UACGAAGGGGGGCUAGCGUUGCUCGGAAUCACUGGGCGUAAAGGGCGCGUAGGCGGCCUGAUCAGUCGGGGGGUGAAAGCCUGUGGCUCAACCACAGAAUGGCCUCGAUACUGUCGGGCUUGAGACCGGAAGAGGUAAGUGGAACUGCGAGUGUAGAGGUGAAAUUCGUAGAUAUUCGCAAGAACACCAGUGGCGAAGGCGGCUUACUGGUCCGGAUCUGACGCUGAGG
rnacentral:rRNA from 1 species